CCCUUUCCAAAAAUCACCUGGUAAUCCUGACUAUAAUAGACAGAUUUUCUAAGAUGACCCAUCUUGUCCCUUUAAUCAAAUUGCCUUCGUCCUCCGAACUGGCCACGGUGUUUAUAAGGGAGGUGGUUCGUUUGCAUGGUAUACCUGUGGAUAUAGUUUCAGACAGAGGUCCACAAUUUAUUUCCAGUUUCUGGAAAGCAUUUUGUAAUCAAUUGGGUAUCACACUUAAUCUAUCUUCUUCGUACCAUCCCCAAUCUAACGGGGUUACAGAAAGGAUGAAUCAAUCACUUGAACAAUACAUUCGCUGCUUCACCUCCGAUCAUCAAGAUGAUUGGGUAGAAUUACUUCCUUCGGCUGAAUUUGCCCACAAUAACAUGAUUCACGAAUCUACGUAACACAGUCCCUUUUUUUUUUUCUUUUUUUUUUUUUUAUAAAUUAUGGCUUUGAUCCUACUACUCUUCCGAGUUCCUU